rnacentral:lncRNA from 1 species
GUAAAUUUGUCUUGUUUUUAAUUUGUAUUUAGUGUUGUGUUUCAAAGACAUAACCUUUAUUAAACAUAUAUAUGAAGUACUAUUGGUGUCAUUAUAUUCCACCGUAACCUCCACAUUAACACCAUCAUUAAUUUUUUUAUCCUCCCUUUCGAUCUCCAUCCUCUACUAAUUUCUCCUCACCCCUUCAUAUAAAUCAUUCCUAACAUAUUCACGUAUCAUUAUUCUUAACAAAUAUAGCAUUGCUACAAAACAUACAUCAAGUUUUGUUACAAAAAUUCCAAUUUCAGAAUUUAUGUUUUGCUUUAUGCACCAAGGUUCAAUAUUGAAUCUUUGCUUACUUUGUACCAUUCAAGAAUUCACGAGUAAUAAUAGGAAUCAUCACUAGUAGUAACCGCAUAGCUACCAAAGGAAUCAUGCUUACUCUCCUUCAUUGAAUUAACAACCCAAUGAUCAUAGCGUGCUGAGUUUGACAACAUAUUUUGCUUCAAAGAAGCAAAUUCUAUAGACUUGUUUCUCUGUUCUGUUCCUUGUUUAGGUCUUUGUCUUGGUUCACUAAUAGACCUUGUUUUUGCCCUAGAAGAUUCUGUCUUGUUCAUGUAACUUGGUGAUGACCAUGAUUUUCUAGGAGGCACAAUAAUGUGACGCUGAGAUGUUGAUAAGGUUGUUGGGUCCAUAUAUUCAAUCAUGUCACUGUAGUACUUUUCUGGGCUGUUUGGUGCUGUGAGAAUUGUUCUAGGAUUAUUAUUCAUGUGAUUCUCCUUCUUUUUCAAUUGAUUUUCUCGUUUUGAAAUUGAUCGACUUCUUGAAUAAUAUGCCAUUGAGUCAUACUUUCUGCUUUUAACAUCUAGUGGACCACUUCUACUUCUCAUAACCUCCAACAUUUCUUCCAUGCUCAUAUUCUUUGAAUACUAUUCAACAAUUAAUAACCAUAUUAUAUAUAGUUAUUGAUAUAUAAAUGAAUAACAUCUUUGUUUAGAUAAAUAACAAAUAACUUGUGUUUAUGUCAUGAGCACUUAUCAUAUAAGAAGUGUCUAUGUAUAAACUAAACCUAUUUAAAAUAACUCAUUUUGAGUUUAUCUAUCGAAAUAAGCAAUUGUGAGAUGGUUUGAGAGAGCUUAUGGAAACAACUUAUGACAUCUCUAUAAGCUAUUUCAAGCUUAUUUUUUUAAACUCUCAAGAAUAGUUUAUGAAAAUAGCUUAUAACUUCUAUGAAAAUUGUUAACUUUAGUUUAUCUUUUGUUAUUGAAAUAAUUAUAUAUAAGAACUUAUGAUAAGCUCGUAUCAUAAAAGCAUUCAUGUGUAUAAGUUAAUCCUAUAACAAAAGACAAAAUAAAGUAAAAGUAUUCUCAUAUAAGCUAUUUUAGAAAAUUUGUGGAAAUAAGAUGGAAACAUCUUAUGUAGAUGUCAUAAACGGUUUCCGUAAAUUUUGCCAAAUAGUCUCACAACUCACAUGUGUUUACUUCUAUAGCUAAGUUCAAAUAAAUUAAUCCAAACAAACCUUAAACCGAUUCCAGUUACAAAACAUGUAACUGGAAAUUAGCCAAAAACUUUGUUAGAAUGAAUUUUCAAUAGGAUGGAUUGACAUCCAAAUUGAAUACUGGUUAUAUUACAUAAUCUUCUUUGUUCAAAUAUUUGGAAAGUUUCUGCAGAGGCUUACUUGAUUUUGUUGUAUCAUUUGACCUUUGAAGGAGGGAAUUUCUGUGUGUUUUGGAGGUUGUAUUUCGAGGGGAUUUACUUCUUCUGCCAUCUUAAUCCUUUUAAUUCGUGCUCUAACUUGUAUCGACAUCAAUGCAUGCAUUCCACGUAGUGUUGCAGUUGUUUGUUUCCUUACAAGGUGACCCCUCACUAGUGCCUGUAACUUCACCAAUCCCUUUAAAGCAUGCAAUGCUCUCCUUGCCUGCAAAUUUUGUAUGUAUGUUAUAGCAUAAACUUUGUAUCACAUACACUUGAGAUCGAGAAGACAUGUCCGGUGUGUGACACCAACACAUGCGAUCACAUUUUUUAAAAUGUAAUGAAAUAUAGAGAGAAGUUUAUACCAAGUAGGAGCGAAAGGAAGCUUGAAUCUUUGUAGCAGCUUUUUUCACAAAUUCAGCAGCUGUUGGACGAAACCUUGGGGACUGAGUAUAGAACAGGCCUUGUAUUUGUAAUUUUGGAGAGUCAUCUGAAUCAAAAGACUUGGAAAUUUUAUGAGCUACUACCUUGCCCGUUGAUCUUCCACUUGUUAGUUUUCGGAAGCUCCAUCUGCGCUUCACUACCAUCUUAUUACUAUUACUGCUGCUACUACUAUUAACCGUGUUUGCGGUCUUAUUAUCGGGGCAGAAUGUAUCAAUCUGCUUGAAGUUCUCUUCUUUUUUCCCUAGAAGAAGGUUUCUAAUCCAUUUGCUUGCCUUCCCCAUUUUUUUUCCUUCUCACCUUCCAAAAUUCUACUUACUGGUUUAAUAGGAUUUAGUAACUAAACAGGAAGAGUAACAAAUGCUAAGGCUAUAAUAUCAAAAUAAUAAAUACGCGUAAGAGAUAUAGUUUUGUUCAUAUGUUAGAUUUAAUCUUGUUACAUAACAUGCAUUAUAUAUGUCUCAUUCUUCUAUACUUGUUUAAUAAUGCUCAUUUUGUGUUCUUGUGCUGCUUUGACUAUUUGUUAUUGGCUUUGGCCUGCAAGGGCUUUUCCUGUUAAAGCCAUUUGCCACCCUCCUAGAGUUUCCUAUAUAUAAUUCGACGAGAGUAA